UACGUAGGGGGCAAGCGUUGUCCGGAUUUAUUGGGCGUAAAGAGCGUGUAGGCGGCCAGACAGGUCCGUUGUGAAAACUCGAGGCUCAACCUCGAGAUGUCGAUGGAAACCGUCUGGCUAGAGUCCGGAAGAGGAGUGUGGAAUUCCUGGUGUAGCGGGUGAAAUGCGCAGAUAUCAGGAAGAACACCGGUGGCGAAGGCGGGUCUCUGGGCCGAUA
rnacentral:rRNA from 1 species